ACGGGUGAGUAACACGUGAGCAAUCUGCCCUUCACUUUGGGAUAACCCCCGGAAACGGGAGCUAAUACCGAAUAUGACCACUUCACGCAUGUGAUGGUGGUGGAAAGUUCUGGCGGUGGAGGAUGAGCUCGCGGCCUAUCAGCUUGUUGGUGGGGUAAUGGCCCACCAAGGCUUCGACGGGUAGCCGGCCUGAGAGGGUGACCGGCCACACUGGGACUGAGACACGGCCCAGACUCCUACGGGAGGCAGCAGUGGGGAAUAUUGGACAAUGGGCGAAAGCCUGAUCCAGCAACGCCGCGUGAGGGAUGACGGCCUUCGGGUUGUAAACCUCUUUCAGCACAGACGAAGCGAAAGUGACGGUAUGUGCAGAAGAAGCACCGGCCAACUACGUGCCAGCAGCCGCGGUAAUACGUAGGGUGCGAGCGUUGUCCGGAAUUAUUGGGCGUAAAGGGCUCGUAGGCGGUUUGUUGCGUCAGGAGUGAAAACUCGGGGCUUAACCCCGAGCCUGCUUCUGAUACGGGCAGACUAGAGGUAUGCAGGGGAGAACGGAAUUCCUGGUGUAGCGGUGAAAUGCGCAGA
rnacentral:rRNA from 1 species